GAUGAACGCUAGCUACAGGCUUAACACAUGCAAGUCGAGGGGCAGCACUAGGUAGCAAUACUGAGGUGGCGACCGGCGCACGGGUGCGUAACGCGUAUCCAACCUUCCCGAUACUCUUGGAUAGCCUUCCGAAAGGGAGAUUAAUACAAGAUGGUGUUUGAAUUCCGCAUGUUAUUCAAACUAAAGAUUUAUCGGUAACGGAUGGGGAUGCGUGACAUUAGGUAGAUGGCGGGGUAACGGCCCACCAUGCCUACGAUGUCUAGGGGUUCUGAGAGGAAGGUCCCCCACACUGGAACUGAGACACGGUCCAGACUCCUACGGGAGGCAGCAGUGAGGAAUAUUGGUCAAUGGUCGGAAGACUGAACCAGCCAAGUAGCGUGAAGGAUGAAGGUUCUAUGGAUUGUAAACUUCUUUAUACGGGAAUAAACCUCCCACGUGUGGGAGCUUGUAUGUACCGUAUGAAUAAGCAUCGGCUAAC
rnacentral:rRNA from 1 species